ensembl:snRNA U1 U1 spliceosomal RNA
ACUAGUGCCUGGCAGGGGCGAUACCAUGAUCACGAAGGUGGUUUUCCCAGGGCGAGGCUUAUCCAUUGCAUUUGGAUGUGCUGACCUCUGAGAUUUUUCCCCAAAUGCGGGAAAUUUGACAGCAUAAUUUGUGGUAGUGGGGGGACUGUGUUCUCGAUCUCCCCCA